rnacentral:rRNA from 1 species
GACGAACGCUGGCGGCGUGCCUAACACAUGCAAGUCGAGCGAGGAACUUGCAACUGAUUCCUUUGGGAUGAAGAUGUAGGUUUCCUAGCGGCGGACGGGUGAGUAACGCGUGAGAAACCUGCCUUUCACUAGGGGAUAGCCUCGGGAAACCGGGAUUAAUACCCUAUGACACUUAAGGGUCGCAUGGCCUUUAAGUUAAAGCGCUUUAGCGGUGGAAGAUGGUCUCGCGUCCCAUUAGCUAGUUGGUGAGGUAAAGGCUCACCAAGGCGACGAUGGGUAGCCGGCCUGAGAGGGUGACCGGCCACACUGGGACUGAGACACGGCCCAGACUCCUACGGGAGGCAGCAGUGGGGAAUUUUGCGCAAUGGGGGCAACCCUGACGCAGCGACGCCGCGUGGGUGAUGAAGGCCUUCGGGUUGUAAAGCCCUGUUGGGGGGGAAGAUAAUGACGGUACCCCCCUGAGGAAGCCCCGGCUAACUACGUG